UACGUAGGUGGCGAGCGUUGUCCGGAUUUACUGGGCGUAAAGAGCGCGCAGGCGGCUGGUCAAGUCCGAUGUGAAAGCUCCCGGCUUAACUGGGAAAUUGCAUCGGAAACUGAUCGGCUGGAAGGUGGGAGAGGGUAGCGGAAUUCCCGGUGUAGUGGUGAAAUGCGUAGAUAUCGGGAGGAACACCAGUGGCGAAAGCGGCUACCUGGCCCAUUCUUGACGCUGAGG
rnacentral:rRNA from 1 species